GCCUUCGUGGUGUAGAGGUCCGCACGCUCGACGCGUAACCGAAAGGUCCGUGGUUCGAUUCCCGGCGAAGGCG
rnacentral:tRNA from 1 species